CACGUAGGGGGCGAGCGUUGUCCGGAAUCAUUGGGCGUAAAGAGCUCGUAGGCGGCUCAGUAAGUCGGGUGUGAAACCCUCAGGCUCAACCUGGGGACGCCACCCGAUACUGCUGUGGCUAGAGUCCAGUAGAGGAGUGUGGAAUUCCCGGUGUAGCGGUGAAAUGCGCAGAUAUCGGGAGGAACACCAACGGCGAAGGCAGCACUCUGGGCUGGAACUGACGCUGAGGAGCGAAAGCGUGGGUAGCAAACAGGA
rnacentral:rRNA from 1 species